rnacentral:rRNA from 1 species
GACGAACGCUGGCGGCGUGCUUAACACAUGCAAGUCGAACGGAAAGGCCCUGCUUUUGUGGUGUGCUCGAGUGGCGAACGGGUGAGUAACACGUGAGUAACCUGCCCUUGACUUUGGGAUAACUUCAGGAAACUGGGGCUAAUACCGGAUAGGAGCUCCUGCUGCAUGGUGGGGGUUGGAAAGUUUCGGCGGUUGGGGAUGGACUCGCGGCUUAUCAGCUUGUUGGUGGGGUAGUGGCUUACCAAGGCUUUGACGGGUAGCCGGCCUGGGAGGGUGACCGGCCACAUUGGGACUGAGAUACGGCCCAGACUCCUACGGGAGGCAGCAGUGGGGAAUAUUGCACAAUGGGCGGAAGCCUGAUGCAGCAACGCCGCGUGCGGGAUGACGGCCUUCGGGUUGUAAACCGCUUUCGCCUGUGACGAAGCGUGAGUGACGGUAAUGGGUAAAGAAGCACCGGCUAACUACGUG